GGUCCAGACUCCUACGGGAGGCAGCAGUGGGGGAUAUUGCACAAUGGGGGGAACCCUGAUGCAGCGACGCCGCGUGGGUGAAGGAGUAUUUCGGUAUGUAAAUCCCUAUCGGCAGGGAAGAAGCAAGACGGUACCUGUCGAAUAAGCCACGGCUAACUACGUGCCAGCAGCCGCGGUAAUACGUAGGUGGCAAGCGUUGUCCGGAUUUACUGGGUGUAAAGGGCGUGUAGCCGGGUUGACAAGUCAGAUGUGAAAUCCUGCGGCUUAACCGCAGAACUGCAUUUGAAACUGUUGAUCUUGAGUACUGGAGAGGCAGACGGAAUUCCUAGUGUAGCGGUGAAAUGCGUAGAUAUUAGGAGGAACACCAGUGGCGAAGGCGGUCUGCUGGACAGCAACUGACGGUGAGGCGCGAAAGCGUGGGGAGCAAACAGGAUUAGAUACCCGGGUA
rnacentral:rRNA from 1 species